GUAAUUACUUUGAUGAGAAGAGUACGUUUAGAAUGUAGUCUUAGCGAGUAAGGGAUAGUGUGAGCCUUAUACGAAGUCUAUUCCGAAGAACAUCUCUGAGUUUCUAACCGAAAGUUUUUAAUAAUUAGUAGGCUUAGACGGGGGCAACCUCGUUAACAAUCUAAGAGAAGUUAUAUAAUUUUAUAUUGUAUGACAAAUUGGGUGGUACCACGAAUUAACACUUUCGUCCCAUAU
rnacentral:ncRNA from 1 species